rnacentral:tRNA from 1 species
GGAGAUGUGGCUCAGGGGUUAAGAGCACUGACUGUUGUUCCAGAGGACCCAGGUUCAAUUCCUAGCACCCACA